CACUCUCACUGUGCAUGGGGGUCCCUGUCACUCUGCAGUGACGAGGACAGUCUGCACAUGUUCUAAACAGACGCAAUUUAAAAAAAAAAUAGUUUUCAGUCAGCAGUUGGUUGGGUUCAAGGGCGCGGAGCCCACGGGUGCAGAGUCGAGGACACCUAGACCUGCACCCUCCUGCCACCACGCUGCCACGCUGUCCCCUCCCUCAUGCCCACCCUCGCCAGCCUCAGAGGACCUGGCCCAGACCCUGCUUCUGUCCCCCCUGGGGACCCGAGGCUGAGCGUCCACCGGUCUGUCCGAGGAGGACACGAAGCAAGGACGCGGGGACUGGCAGAGACAGAGAAGGACACUGGCCUGACCGGCUCCCUCAGGACCUCCAACCACAGGGUGACCUCAGUGUCAGCCACAGGCGACGUUCUGAUCCUGGCCAGAGUCCAGCUCCUGUCCCCGGCCAGCGAGGGGCCUCUGACCCCAACAAGACUGGUUUCUGACCCAAGCUAUUGACCUGUUCAGGAUCCCAGCCACAGGCUGCCCUCGAGCCUGGCCGCACGCUGACCUUCCACCCCAGCCGCGGCCAGCUUCUGGUUCUGCCGCCCUGGCCCCUCAUCCUUUAUAACUGUCUCACAAGACCCCACCCAGGAACUGGCAUUUGCCGAAUUCCUGCUGCCAAUUCAGCUUGAAUUAAUUGGUCAACAAAGCUGAACUGUCUGUCCUUCCUCUCUACCCUGGGACCACAGGGCAGGCUCCCAGUUCUCCUUUCCAACCUGAGAGCAGCGUGAGAAGGCCCCUUUACCACUUUUCUUCUGCUUUGUAUACGAUGUCUGGUGCUCUGGCAGCCAUCAUGUGAUCAUGGAGAGGAAAGAUAGUGUUCUGAAUACGGCAGGGUCUGUGUCCUUGGAGACAUCAUUGAAUGAUCAAAGCAACCCUUGGAUUCUUAAAUAAGCCAUAGCAUGCUUUUAAAAAAAAUAAACCCAUGGAGUUCCUUUGGCAGCUUUAACAAUUGUAGUAAUUAGAAUAACAGACAUACAAAGACGUCCUGUCUGAAUCCCCAGAGGCUGGGAACAGGCUGUGUUAUGUGGCAAGAAGGAAUGAAGGUUGCAGAUGGAAUCAGAGCUCCUCACGGCCUGGCCUGGAGACGGGCACGUCAUCCUGGACCAUCCAGACGGACCGACUGUAAUCACAGGUCCUUGGGGGUGAGAGGGGCGCAGGGGAAUCAGAGCCAAGAGAAACUUGGCGGUAUCAUGCUGCUGGCCCUGAAGACAGGGCCAGUGGCCGCGAGCCAAGGAAUGCAGGCGCCUCCUAGACACACAAGGUCACAGGUGGGACUCUCCCCAGAGUCCCCCGAAGGAUGGCAACCCUGGGGAUGACACUGAGCUUCUGACCUGCAGAAGUGUCACAUGAUAAAUCUGUGGGAGUCAGUGCAGCUGCGGGGUGGGGCCACAGCCCCGGGUCCGACCUUGGCUUCUGGACAGGGCCAGCUGUGGGGAGGCCAGCUCCGCGCCCCUGUCACCCCGCAGUCCCACGCUCAGGGGGACCACCCUGGAAUGCAGCACUCUGAAGCCCCCACCUUGAAAUUCUUACUAGUUCUGUCUUCAAGUCGCAGCCGCACACAGAGGGCUUGCAGCUGCAUCUGACGGCUGUCACCUCCUGCCACUGCUGCUCCUGGGCAGGGUCCUGGCCACCUGCCGCACGCCCCCAGCCCUCCACCCCCCUCCACCUCCCAUGGCCGCUGCUGCCCUCUGCCCUCUGCGGGGACCUGGGGGCCCUGGAGGGCAGGGCCGUGGCUCACCUCAUGACACCUUGGGCUGGGGGUGGUGACAGCGUCCCUGUCCUGGUGUGUCUGCCUAGACAGGACAAGCCUUCCUUUUGUUGGUCCUGGGGAUUUAGCGGGGGCCCGCUUGCCCACUGAGCCACAUCCCAGCCCUUUUUAUGUCUCAUUUUGAAAGGGGGUCUGCUAAGUGCUUGGGGUCUCACUAAGUUGCUGAGACUGGCCUCCAACUCUCCAUCCUCCUGCCUCAGCCUCCAGAGCAGGGAUGUCAGUGGCAAGACCAGCAUCACGCCUGCCCCAGGAGCCCAGAGUCCCCAUCCUGAAUUCUUAACCCUUUCUCUACCUGCACUGCCAAGGCCGAGCCUCCUCCCCACCCUGCUCCUGGGCUCUCCCGGCCUCCUCCGCGGGCUUCUGCCCUCCCCAUUGCACAAGUCCCAGUGCAGGCCAGGCCCCCUCCGCCUGCCUCGUAGCCCUCCCCCUCCCCUCCCUCCUCUCUCCCCUCCCCUCCCUCCUCCCCCUCCCUCCCUCUCCACUUCCUCCCCUGCACCCCUCCUCCACUCUCAGUGCACAGUGGGCCUGACCCGGCCUUGAACCUGCUUUCACUGAAGCCCUGAGGGCUGCUCUCCAUCCGCCUUCCUGCCGCACUCGGCCUCUGCUCCCCUCUCAGAACUGCCUCCCCCUCCGCGCUGGCGGCCUGCCCCGCGCCCAGCCGCCCCAGGUCUCCCUCUCUGCCCUUCCCUAAGAAUCCAGGGCCCCCCAUAAAGGCCCCCACCUCCUCCGCUCCCCUCUCCCCUCCCCCUCCUCCCUCAGCCUCCAGAGCCCCUUCUCCCUCGCCCUCCCCCCUGAUCCUUACUUACUGUGUGUUGGGCACCACGUGGGCCCUGGAACAUAACAGAAGAGCCAAGGAAGCUCUCUGCGCCCCUCUCCCCAUCCACCCUUUCCCCCUCCCUCCCGUCCCUCCCCCUCCCCUCCCCCUCCCCCCUCCUCUCACAUUCUCUCCCUGGAGUUAACUGCAGCCUUCGCUAAACUGACUGCAGUUUCACGGGGCAGCGAUUGUGCAGCCCAGGACCCAGCGCCCCUGGCACAGAGGGGAUCACAGACACCAUUGGGCACUGUGGUGCACUCCUGUAAUCCCAGCAGCUUCGGAGGCUGAGGGAGGAGGAUUGCAAGGCCAGCCUCAGCAACUUUGUGAGGCCCAAUUUCAAAAUACAAAGGGCUGGCGUGGGGCUCAGGGCUGGAGCACCCUGGGUUCAAUCCCCAGGACCAACCAAGAAUGCACUCAGGAGGCUUCCCUGGAUGGACUGAUGGAUGAGUGAAAGAAAGACAUGUUCUAAACCAUCAGCCCUCUCACCUCAACCCCAGAACCAUGUCCCCAGCUAUGGUGGGGCACAUCCCAGUGACCACAGCUUCCCCGGGGACACGUCCUGCAGCCUAGCCGGUACACCCCACCCUGUGACGUGAUGAGCAUCAUUCUAUUGGUGUAUGUUAUUGACUCUUUUCAUUUUGAUCAGUUCGCAGUCUUCCCUCUGGAAGGAGCCUCCAGGGAGCAGAGAUUUUCGUUUGCUUCACUGUUGAAUUCCAGGGCCCACCUGGGGCCCAACACAUAGUAAGUGCUCAAUAAACACGUCUUGAACCGAUGAGCGGAUCUCACCACGGACAAACCCACAGAUCUCAGACUCAGUGUAUCCAAAAUAGCCCUUUGUCCUCCUCUGGGGACAUCCUCCUUUUGGUUCCUGGUCUUGAUUGCUAAACCUACCCAGCAGGCAUCACCAGGCCCGUGCCUUCCUUCCUCAUCUGCAGAUUCUGGCACCGACUGUCUGUCCCUGUGACCCUUCGCCCUGGCUCCUCCAUGCACCACAUGCACCACACCGUCUCCUGCUUGCAGCCCCUGGGCUGAUCCUAACACUGCACCAGGACCAGGUGGUGACAGAGUCUCCCUCCUGCUCCUAAGGGGACACAGGUCCCGGAGGUCCUGAAGGUGAUGUGAGGUGGCCUUGGGCAUCAGUUCGGGAAACUUGUUCCUUUUUCAGCCUCUCUCUCCCUCGGGCCUUCCGCAGGCUGCCAGCAAGUCGCCAGAAUUGAAAUUACUCGGUUUUGGUUUCACUGUGGGCUCUGCAGUUCCGUCUGUUUAUGGUCAAGGAGGCUGGCGCUCCAUUUGUGAAGGGACAAGGUCUCCUCUGAAAAGAAAGCGAAAUAGGUCAACCAACACGAAGGGCUCAGGAAUCAGGGUGGAGGGGAAAUGCAAGUAUGGCCCAAGUGACCUGUCGUGCAGCGGGAUGGGCCCGGGAAGUGUCCAGAGCUCCUGGCAACCAGGUCCCGGUGCCCGGCUGCCCCUCAGUGUGACACCUGUGACACCUGCAGCCACGCUGGGACACGGCCCUGGCCCCAUUCCCAGGGCACCUCGUGCAGUUUCGACCCCAGGCCUGUCUCUUCACUCUGGCCUGUCCCUCACGCUCCUCCCGGACCACUCUGUGCCCCUGUCGCCCAGCACGGUCCUCCCUGGGGAAGGACCCUCGCCACUCCCAGCCCCGCACGUGGCUUCCGCGGACCUGAUGUCACUCUGCGCUCCCACAGCGCGCGACUCAGGCGCGGCCAGUCAGAGUGCUCCUUCCCCAAUCCGUGUAGGGAUUGGCUCCCAGGCGCUCAUGUGAUUAAAUCUGACCAAUGAGAGCCGUUCCCUGAUCCAUCCCGGGAACUAUCACUUUCUUUCGCGAUUCGUAGCUGAUAGCUGAUAAGGCUCCACCUCUGGGAGUCCCCACCCCACCGCACACACUUUUUUACUACCACUGAGGCUCCCUUAUCCUACUUGGGGUUGAGAAGCAAGCAGAUUCCAGAGGCGGAGGCUUCCAACCUGCAGAAAAAAAUUUGAGCACCUUGAUCCAUCCAUGCCUGAAACUACACUCUAAUUUUUUUUUUAAUCACUUGCAACUACAAGGCUCCUGGUCAAAGAAUGAGUUUAAGCUUUAUUGACAUAAAAUUCAUAUAGCAUAUAAGUCACCCUUUCAACCAUUUAAAAAUGCAUGAUCCAUAACACACUGGGUUCUAGUAGAGUCACAGUGUUGUACCCAUGUCACCACUGUGUGAUUCCAGAAUCUCACAACACAACCACCAUCUCCAGAAACAAAAAUAAAAACCAUGAUCCUUCUCACCCACUCCCAACUGCCCUCCCCCAGUGCAUGUCACCACCUGAAAUAUCUCAGGCAUUUCUCUGAGCACCCCCUCAAUACAGGGCCGGGUUGUUCUCCCCUCUGUGCACACUCCCCGUGAUUUUUAAAUCUUAUUUAUUUUUAAUCAUGAAACAUUUCAAACAGACAGAAAGUCAAUCCCUGUGUGUAUCUCCUACUACAUUUUUGAUGUCGGGAACUGGGACUUGAUUUCUUCUUGUGUCCCCAUUUCCCAGCACAGGGUCUGCACCAGACAAGGUGUUCAGUCAAGCAAAACAAGAAGCCAACCCGGGCCCACCCUCACCGUCUCAGCCCUAGGCUGAACCAGAGCUUAAAGAUUCUGCCAACGUUUGUUGAUUGGCUGGUUGACCUCCUUAGUAAACGUCAGGCCCCUCCUCCUGCCUGUGUGUGCAGGGCUGUGGUGGGGCUGGGCAGGAGGGACUUUAUCUGAGCCGAUCACUUCCCACACUCUGACAUUUAAUUAAACCCAGAACUAAACUGACAGUUGUUUACCAUAGCUGGGUACCCCCCAAAAUUCCCCCACUUCAGAGGCUUACAGGUAGAAUAGUGGGGAGGCUGAGCAGAUCAGGGACGCAGGGCCCGUGGCUUCUCUGUCUCUGUGUUGUCCCAUCUGUGCAGCACAGCUGAUGACGCUGAAUACCCUGUGGGGUCACGGGGGAUUGGCUGAGUGAACCCCUGCUGUCCUUGAGGAAGUCUGCUGCCCAGGGUGCUUAGCUGCGUUCUCCCAGCGCUGCACGAGGCCACCCAGCCACGGCCCCCGGGGCUUACCCACCGCCUCGCUCCACUGCAUCUCAGGUUAGGCGCUGCCUCCUCCAGGAAGUCCUCCGGCUCCGCAGACCUUGGGUAGGUACUGCUCUUUGGGCUUCUUGGUGCCCAUGUGUCCCAUCCGCACCAGCAGGGACAGUCUCAGAUACCCCCAGGUGCCCCGAGCCCGGCACAGGGCAGAUGCCCAGAGUGCAGGCUCUCGUGGUGCACACCUGUAAUCCCGGGGACUCGGGAGGCUGAGGCUGGAGGAUCGCAAGUUUGAGGCCAGCCUUGGCAACUUAGUGAGACCCUGUCUCAAAAUGGAAGAUAAAAAGGGUGGAGUCCAGAGGCAGGGCCCCCUGGCUUCGAUCCCCAGUGCCCCCCCCCCAGAAAAAGAGAAAGAAUAUACCAGAACAUGCAUCGAAGGAUAACAAGAGCUUUUGACUUGUCCCUGAUGCUUCUGAGACCGUCCUGACCCAGGCACCCAAGCUCUGGCUCCGUCCUCCCUGUGUCCCGGGGAGGACAGGUGUGCAGAGCCCCGGAGCAGGUGGGGAGCAGCAGAGGCUGCGACUGGGGCUCUGGUUUGUCCCUUGCUGGUUGACCCUGGGUUUGGGCUGCGGGGGCACCGUGACUACGCUGUGGGGGCCACAUGAAUGGCUGCUUGGGUCUGCCCAGGGCCAGCUGUCCUGCCACCAGGUUUUGUGUGAACGCCUCCCUCCUCCUGGGCUGCUCUUCCCCUCCUGGCUGACCGCAGCUCCCUUUUGUGGCCCGAGGUCUGUGCUCCCCACCUCCCCCGCGCCCCAGGCCCUGAGCUCCAGCUGUCAGUAAGUGCUUGUUGACUGACUGACUGACUGUGCUUGGUAAAUAUUUUUGUGAGACUUUGACCUUUUCCCAUGUGAAUGUGGGGAAACCACGGCAGCUUGAACUUUCAGUAAAGCAGAGGCCCUUUGAGGAAGGGAGGCUGCACCGAAACCCAGCCGGCUGCCUGGAAGCCGAGUCAUCGCGGCCCAUCCGCCCUGGGCUGCAGCCUCUUGGAAGAGCCGCUGUCCCUGGGCCAGCCCUGCCGGGAGGAGGUCGGUGACUGAGGAAAGAGCUUG
rnacentral:lncRNA from 1 species